rnacentral:rRNA from 1 species
GACGAACGCUGGCGGCGUGCUUAACACAUGCAAGUCGAACGGUAAGGCCCUUCGGGGUACACGAGUGGCGAACGGGUGAGUAGCACGUGGGUGAUCUGCCCUGCACUUCGGGAUAAGCCUGGGAAACUGGGUCUAAUACCGGAUAGGACUCCGGACUGCAUGGUCUGGGGUGGAAAGCUUUUGCGGUGUGGGAUGGGCCCGCGGCCUAUCAGCUUGUUUGUGGGGUGAUGGCCUACCAAGGCGACGACGGGUAGCCGGCCUGAGAGGGUGAUCGGCCCCUCUAUGACUGAGAUACUGUCCAGCCUCCUACGGGAGUCAGCAGUGGAGAAUACUGCUCAUUGAGCGCAUACCUGAUGCAUCGACGCCGGGUGAGUGAGGAUGGCCUUCGGGUUGUAAACCUCUUUCAGCAUCGACGAAGCGAAAGUGACGGUAGGUGCAUAAGAAGGACCGGCCAACUACGUUCCAGCCGCCGCGGUAA